AACUGCGGUUUUGGCUCAGGGGUCAGCUCCUGCUAGUGCCAGGACACUACUGGGAGGCUGGGACCCGACCAAAGCCCAUGGUGUCUCUGGCCUGAGGACAAGGUGUCUUGGGACCAUAAUGCCAGGCCACCAAUGGCCGUUGGGUCAUAGGGGCUCAGCCCCAAUAUUUGUCCUUCCCUGGCUCCUUCUGAUUCAGUCCCAUCAGGGCCCUGGAUCCCAAGACUCAGCAUCCAAGGUCCCCUCCAGGAAUCCUGGCAGCUCAGCAUACUUUAUCCUGUUUCAUCUGAGAGCAAAAAUGUAAAAUUGGAUGCACAGAAAAGUGACUCAAAGUGCUUAAUGACUAGAAGAAAUCUAGGAGCAGCAAGAAGGUAAUGUGGAGGGAGGGACCUCCAUGACCGGUGUCUGCAGAGCCAGGGUUACAGGCACCCAGUGCUGUGGCCUGGCACCACCUGCAUCUCAGAGGGUGGGUGGCACACUCCUUACCCAGAGGACAGCAGGCCUGGUCACCAGCUUUUCUACCUGUCCCAGUAAGCAUCACAUUGCUGGAGGAAAAUCUCAUGCCAGAGCUUGGACCAUCCCUAGCUCAGGGGUUAGGGGUUGUCCCUUGGUGACCUAAAUGAAAAAACAGGUCCAGAACAGAGUUCCUGAUGCUGGACACUCAUUCAGUCUUUGAAUCGUGGGAUGGGAGGCCUGGUACUAGGUAGACCUAACCUCUUUGAGGAACUACAGAGCCCAAGGCUGGAAACCUCCAGAAUCCUCCACCCCCUGAUCCUCCCUGGGGACCCUUGUGGCCUGUGUCACUGAGCACUCUUCCAUCUGUGGAUGUCUGGGCUGCUGUACAAGGGAGUCCCCUUCCAGGUGUGGUGCUAGACAUGGUCACUCCUGCUGGAUGUCUAGGUGGUAGAAACCAAGGACCUAGGGAAAUACCAGGUACAGCCUUUCCACGCUCAUCCAGAGCAGGACAGACAGGCCAGGCGGUGUCAGGAGCCCAGGUCUCCAGCUGGAGGGAACGUCAACCCUGCGGUGGGAGCAGGGGCCCUUUGCACAUCCUAGGCACAGAUGGUAAUGUAGACACCACAGGUAAGCUGGGCUUGGUACCUACCCCUCCCCGGAUUCAGAAAGAAACCAAACAAGGAGCUUUGUGCGGAAUGAAACCUCCUUUCCUCCCAGAAGCACUGCUGACUGUUUGGUGGUUGCCAUUUGUGGCAGUGAGCCUUUGUUUGUUCUGAGGUUGGGCUGGUUUCUCCUCUUGGCCCUGCCCUACAGAUCAUAAAGGAGAACAGCAAGAGGUCCCCAGCAAACAUCCACAGAUGGCCUUGGAAAUAAGUCACCUUCCUCACCCUGCAGGAAUGCCAGUGAACAUAUUGCUGACAUCUUGGAGCUCAGUACCCUCAUACUGUAACGGCGUCAGCAGAUCUGCCUGUGCUUGGACUUCCUGUACUACCCAUUCCUGAGGGGCGAUGCUUCUGCAGGGCCUGUGACUUGGUGCACAACUUCAGACACCAUCAUCUUGCAGCAGCACCGCACCCUCACUAGCCAGGGUGUUGAUGACUUCCUCAAGGCCAAGGCCACAUUCAAGGCUUCGGACUUCAUUGAUGCACUUGUGCUGAGCAAGGUGGCUUCUCCGGGAUCUUAAUUCAGGAGGUAGAAUGGAGCUUGAGAUCAAGUGUCUGAUCAAGCCUCAGUGUAUUGGGCGCUGUUCAUCCUCUGGUGCUGAAGCAGCCAAGAGACACAAGUCUGCCUGGCUGCCUCUUAGGAUAUGACAGCAGAGCCAGUGGCCUCUACUAGAUCCUGUACAACCUCACAAAACACCCAGACAUCGAGAGUGCUGCCAGCCUGUGAUGCAACAGUCCUAAUCCUGAAGACAUUGAAUGACCUGUCAUUGUGCUGUUUUUACCAAAAAGGAUCAUGAGGAUCAGAGAGGAAAAGUCACUUGCCCAAAGUCACACAGCUGAACAGUGGUGGAGUUCAACUUUGACCGUGGGCUGUCUGGCCCCAAGGUGUAUGCUUGCUUCUCUCCCGAGAGACUCCUUUCUUAUCUGGCUCAAAUGAAUGAAAGGAGGAUGUUAAAGUUCCUAGAAGCUUUAAUUUAAUGAAAGUUCCUAGUAGAUCUGUACCUACUAAAAACCACACUUCUGAAGCUACGUGGCCACCAGAAGACACAGCUAGUCUGCCAUGUAAAAAAGGAAAGGUGGCGUGUGCCCUGAAGGUGCAGGGGUGAGAGGCAGGGAAAUGGAGACCCCCACAGCCAGCAGCAGUGGCCCUCAUCACAGCCCUCCAGGAGAUAUCAAAGGAGACAACGCCAUUAUUGACGAGAUCACUCCCAAGCGGAUUGGAGAUUGUCCCAAUACUUAGACCUAUAGCAAGGCCUUGGGAGAAAUGGUGGUGCAGCAGGAGAGCAGGAACCUAACCAUUGCCAUCCUAAGGCCCUCCAUUGUGCGGAGCAACGUGGCACCAGCUUUUCCUGGGUUGGGUUGAUAAUCUAAAUGGAUGUAGCCGACUCAUUAUUGCGGUAUGUAUAGGGAUGAAGAAGUAACUGUAAUGUAGUGGAGGAAUAGUAAGAAAAUUCUUAGUGCUGGCUUAGCUUCAUUGAUCCAAAAACAUAAAUGCUACUUUACUAUCAAUUGAAGCAUAUUAUUUCAAUUAUUCUGGUUAUAAUAUGGAGGCAGGAUGAAAUUAUUUUUAUUCUUUUAGAAUUUUUUUUAUCAGGAAAACAGAGGUAAAGUGCUAUCAAUUACUAUUUAAGAGUUCUAUUUUGAAAAGUGAGAAUUAAGGAUUUUUCUUUUCUUUUUAAAAAAACUUUUUUAAAAAUUAAAAAUAAAACAAGCAAAAGUCUUAUGAAAAUGAA